GACGAACGCUGGCGGCGUGCUUAACACAUGCAAGUCGAACGGUGAAGCGCCUUCCUUUUUGGUGGGUGUGGAUGAGUGGCGAACGGGUGAGUAACACGUGAGUAACCUGCCCCCUUCUUCUGGAUAACCGCAUGAAAGUGUGGCUAAUACGGGAUAUUCUGGGUCUGUCGCAUGAUGGGUCUGGGAAAGAUAUUGUUUCGGUGGGGGAUGGGCUCGCGGCCUGUCAGCUUGUUGGUGGGAUGAUGGCCUACCAAGGCGGUGGCGGGUAGCCGGCCUGGGAGGGUGGCCGGUCAGACUGGGACUGAGACACGGCCGAGACUCGUACGGGAGGCAGCAGUGGGGAAUAUUGAACAGUGGGCGCAAGCCUGAUGCAGCGACGCCGCGGGAGGGAUGGAGGCCUUCGGGUUGUGAACCUCUUUCGCCAGUGAAGCAGGCCUGCCUCGUUUGUGGGUGGGUUGACGGUAGCUGGAUAAGAAGCGCCGGCUAACUACGUG
rnacentral:rRNA from 1 species